rnacentral:rRNA from 1 species
UGGGGAAUAUUGCACAAUGGGCGAAAGCCUGAUGCAGCGACGCCGCGUGAGGGAUGACGGCCUUCGGGUUGUAAACCUCUUUCAGCAGGGAAGAAGCGAAAGUGACGGUACCUGCAGAAGAAGCGCCGGCUAACUACGUGCCAGCAGCCGCGGUAAUACGUAGGGCGCAAGCGUUGUCCGGAAUUAUUGGGCGUAAAGAGCUCGUAGGCGGUUAGUCGCGUCUGCUGUGAAAACUCGAGGCUCAACCUCGGGCUUGCAGUGGGUACGGGCUGACUAGAGUGCGGUAGGGGUNACUGGAAUUCCUGGUGUAGCGGUGGAAUGCGCAGAUAUCAGGAGGAACACCGAUGGCGAAGGCAGGUCACUGGGCCGCAACUGACGCUGAGGAGCGAAAGCAUGGGGAGCGAACAGGAUUAGAUACCCUGGUAGUCCAUGCCGUAAACGUUGGGCACUAGGUGUGGGGUCCAUUCCACGGAUUCCGUGCCGCAGCAAACGCAUUAAGUGCCCCGCCUGGGGAGUACGGCCGCAAGGCUAAAACUCAAAUGAAUUGACGGGGUCAUAGCUGUUU